GGACCAACUUCGGGAAGCGGCGCCAUAGAAGUAAAAAGUGCCUAUAUGUGCCAAAACAAUGAAGGACACACAUGGCACAUUGACACAGCACAUCCCUUUAAUCUAUCUUCCAGUCUUUCAAAGCCAAAAGACGAGUUGCGAAAACCCACAGGUCUUUGGGACGGCUCGCCACCAUUCUGCGUUUCCAGUUGUGGACCAGAUCGCUAUGUGUUGGCAGAAUCCUUGUGCGGUGGAUCAUUUGGUGAAAACUUGUUGAUGUGUUGCUACUCUGGACACAAAAAGCUAUGCUGCCCACUUACGCAUCGUCAGAUGGAGGAAGACCCGGACAUGCAAUUCAUGUUUUACCCAUUCACGUACUGGCAGCACCCUGGGACAUACCCACCGUAUGAAGGGAAUUAAAUGUUGUUCCGUUUAUGGCUCGUACCUUUGCCUAAUUUUGCUUAAUGAGUUGAUUGUCGAUGUGUACCCUAAGUGGAAUUAUUUUUCAAGAGGUGUUGGUAAUUACCUAACAGACCGAUUGUGUAACUGGAGUUUUAAGAAAACCUAUUCGGAGCAGCUGCAGUAAA